rnacentral:lncRNA from 1 species
GGGGAAAGGGGCAGGGGCCCCGCGGGGCGGGGAGGGGGAGGAGGGCCCGCGGGACCCGGAGAAACUGGCCCCACAAUGAUCGCAGCGAGCCCCGCGGCUCCGGGCCGCCAGGGAGCCCCGCCCGGCGCGCCCCAGGUCCGGCGUGCUUCCCCGCUCCCCUUCCCCUCUCCCUGUCCCUGCCCUCCCCUUCCCCCUCACUUUCCCUCUCUGUUCUCACCCCCUUCCCCCUUCUCUCACCCCUCUUCCCUCCUCCCCUCCCGUCCUCCUCUCCCUUCCCUCCUCCCCAACUUUCCCUUCCCUCCUCCCUCCCUUCACCGGUCUCUUCUUUUUCUCCGCUCCCAUGCUCUCCCCCGCCCUCCCGGGCUUGCAGGCUCCCGCCGCCGGGGCCGGAGCGGGGGCCGCCCGCGCGUAGUCUCCGGGAGCGGGGCCCCCGCGCUGGGCUCCGGCCGCCGGCAGGAGGAAGAAAGUCUGCAGGACCAAGUUCCAGGGGCUCAUCCCGCCCAUAGCGGCGCCGCGGCCGCGGGCGGGCCGGGGCGCGGGCCGGGCUCCCGGGAGCCGCGCGUCCCCACGGCGCCCAGGUAGCGGCACUGGCGGGGGCGGGGGGGGGGGGGCUGCGGCGGGCGCUGCGGGCAAUCAGUCCCCGUCCUCGUCCUCCCCCCGGGCCGGAGCCGCUGCGGGCGGGGCGGCGGAGCCGCGCAGGGGCGCCCAGCCCGCCAUGGCGCGGAGGAGAGGGGCGCAGCAGCCCGGGGCGCAGCAGCGGCGGCCGCCUCCUCCCGGCUCGCUGCCCGCCGGCCGCCUCCUCCCGGCUCGCUGCCCGCCGGCCGCCUCGCUCCCUCGCUCCCUCUCUUUUUUUGUAAUUCCGACUGCAGCCUCUGGAUGGAGGUACAAAGUCAAACUCCGGCGAUUGGCCGCGUGAGGCCCUUUCCCCCAAACUUCCUCCCCUCCCCCGCCCGCCCAGCCGUUUGGGGGCCCUCCUCCAUCGGUGCCGAGCCUCCCUUUCGGACUCCUCCCCGCCCCCGCCCCCAAGUGCGCCUCUCUCUGAAUCCCACCCCGUCACAACGGAACGUAGGAAAAAGAGCCGUCGAUCCGGCAGCGUCCCGUCUCUUAGAAACUUGCGAGCCAAAGGCGCGCCGGGCGGCCCAGACCCCGCCGCCUGCGCGCAUCCCCCGCUCGCGGGGCUCCCGCUGGGGCGUGGGACCCGUCACGUGCGAGCGGCGAUCCUUCCCCAGAGACACGGACAAGCAGGAACUUUCUCGGCCUCUUUUUUCUUUAACGGGAGAAUUACGUAAUUAAACACCGAGGCACGGGACGCACCCCGAAAGGGUGGGGUGGGGGAGGUGAGAAAAUAAAGGCCGAUUCGCGGGGGCAAAGUCCCUCUUCCUGGGUUCGAAGUUCGUCUCAGGCACGGGCAGCCUGGGUGAACGUGGGCGAGUCCCUCAGCCCCGUCUGUUUGUCUCAGUUGUUCCUAUGUGGCAUCAGCGGGAGAAAGAAAUGGCGAAUCGCCCCGCGUUCUGCCAGCAGAACCGCAGACAGGGGCCAGGAGGGGCAGGACGCGGCGGCCAUUUAACAGCCAGAUCCGCAAGGAGGCCCCAGCCACAGAGCCAGGGUUCGGAAGGGACAUCCUGUAACAUCAGGGAGCGCUCCCGGGAGCCCGCGCAGAAUCUCGCUGCAGACGCAGUGCGCCGGGAGCGUCGCCCACCCGCUCUCCGAGGUCAGGACCCGCAGAGAGAAAAUAGGACCCGCAGAGAGAAAAUAGGACAAGACGUUCUGGGUCCCUGGUUUCUGCACCUGAGGCAACUGAGGCUCGAGAGCGCCCGUGACUCACACCCGGGGAAGGGGCUUGUGCACGUGCUGCCGCCCUUUGUGUCCUUGUCCGGCAAUCUGAGAGACGCUUGACGCCGCCAGCCCUCAGAUCCCGACUGAUGGAUGCUCGCUGGGGGCCCUGCGUAAAUCAGCACUCCGCGCUGGAGCGCGCCCCCUUGCGUUUAGAGCGGGCAGUUUGUUAAUGGGAUGGACUCCCAAGCCCUUCACCUCGGCCUGCUCCGCGCCCAGCUUGGCUCCUCACGCUGGGACUGCCCAGAUUUCCUUCUAGCCGCAGCGGCUUUGCUGAAGCCAAAGCGGACUCCAGGGGUUCUAGUUGGGAAAAGAUCCUUAGGGAUCGUUUAAAGAGACAAGCCAGAGUGACCCUCAAGCCUGUACUUUUCCCCAUCAGUCUACAUCGCCUUCUCUUAGCUUUGACUACUUCCGUCCCCGCUGAGGGAUGCUCCGGCAGCAGUCACAAGCCCCGAGGAAAGCAACAGAAAGGGGGGGUCUGACCUCUGAGGGCCAAUCCAGCUAAGCUGGAGCUCACGAGAGAGUGAGCCACCAGGGGACGGACCCCCAGGGGUCUCAGCCGUUCCUUGGUACCCUGUACCUAAAGGGUUGUUCAUCGCCAAGGGAGUCACAGAUUCCUCGGUCAAGAGGCAUUUAUUGUUUACUGUUAAGUCUACUGUGUGAGAGUCGUUGUGCUGGUCUCCAAAGCUAGAUCCAAAUUAAAAUAAAGCCUGCCCUUGAGAAGUUUAUAGUUUAUCGGAGUAACCGAAAAGGAAGGAAGGAACGGAGGGAAGGAAGGAAGGAAGGAAGGAAGGAAGGAAGGAAGGAACGGAGGGAAGGAAGGAAGGAAGGAAGGAAGGAAGGAAGGAAGGAAGGAAAGAAAGAAGGGAGGGAGGGAGGGAGGGAGGGAAGGAAGGGAGGGAGGAAGGAAGAAAGGAAGGAAGGAGGGAGGGAGGGAAGGAAAGGAGAGAGGGAAGGAAGAAAGAAGGAAGGAAGGAGGGAGGGAGGAAGGAAGGAAGGAGGGAGGGAGGAAGGAAGGGAGGAAGGAGGAAGGGAGGGAGGAAGGAAGGAAGGAAGGGAGGAGGAAGGGAGGGAGGAAGGAAGAAGCAGAAAAUCUGUCAAUGUAGGCUGUUAUGAAAUCCUCUUCAGAACAGGAAUUUUCUUACUUUCUCUGGAGAGUUCCUAGACUUCCUAGGUACUCCCCAAAUAAAACUAGAUUUUAGAGACUUUGAUGAAGAUAUUUCUAUUUAUAGGAAGACAUUUUUAGACUCUUUAGGUUUAGGAGGGUUCCUACAGAUCACCGGAUAAAACUUCCUAAUUCUGCAUAUAAAGCCACAUAGGGAUGAUACAUCAGCACCCUGGAUCCUGCCAUAUUUCCACAAUCAAGAACUUGGGCUGAUUCCCCCUUACUAAUUCUCCCUUCCAGCAGCAAUUAAUCCCUCCAACUCUCAUAAGGCCUCUGUUCUGACUACACUUUUCUCCUUAGUCUGGACCCCUUAGUGAGUCAUUUACAUUCAGUGCUUCCUUCUGCUCAUCAAUUCCUUGUCCAUCUUCCACCACCUCUGCUACUCACUCACUAUUCAAAAAGAGGAGGAAAAAAAUCACAAAAUCAUAGUGACCAAAUCCUCUGUUAAUGUGAUCUUAUUUCAACAGAGCCCUCACUUGCCAUUAGUUCUCUAUCUCAUUCCUCUCCAUAGCUGUUCAAAAUCUUCUUUUCUUUCCUCAUUAUAAAAGUGCACAAAAUUCUGGGCCUAGAAUCAGGAAAACUAAGGUCAAAUACAACCUCAGGCACAUACUAGCUGUACGACCCUGGACAGGUCACUUAGUCAGUUUGCCUCAGUAUCUUUAAUUGUUAAAUGGGAAUAAAACAGCACCCACCCAGCAGAGUUGUUGUGAAGAUCAAAUGAGGUCAUAUUUGUAAAAUUAUUACCAUUUGGGGCUGGCUCAUUCGACUCAUCUGCACCCACUUCAUGUCAGACUGUGAGAAACUAUUAACCCCAAUUGCCUCUCCAAAAAAAAAAGUGAAAUCGAAACAGGCAAAACCUUGCAAACUACUUUCUAGCAGACAGUAUCUUCCCAAGCAAAUGAAGUUGAAAUGACCAAAUAUUCUAGUUUUUCUUCUGAUGGUUCAAAUAAAAACAGGAAAAUGAAAGAUUAAAAAAAUCAGUCUUUCCAAAGUUACCCAUGAUCUUUUCAUUGCUGGAUCUAACAGGCUCCUAUCAGCCCUCAGCCUUCUUGAGCUUUGUGUAGCAUCUACCGCUGCUGGCCACCAUUUUCUCCUGUAUCCUAUCUCCUGUCUGGGUUUUCAUGACAUUGCUCUGUCCAGUUCUGCCUGAUUGCAUCAUUCUAAUUUCCUUUAUGGACUCAUCAGACCCACCUCACAAGGCUCUGUCUUGGGUCCUCUUCUCUCUUUUCUCCCCAUAUUCUUCCCUUCUAAGCUUAUCAGGUUCCAGAAGCUCUAGGCUGAUGGUGUCUAGAUCUUUAUAUUUCAUCUCAUAUUUCUGACUAUCUCUUGGACACCUGGAAUGGGAUGUCCCAUAAGCAUCUCAAAUAUAAUGUGAACAAAAAAAGCUCAUUUUCUCUUCUCCCAAAAUACAUCCCUCUUCCAAACUUUCUUAUUAUUGUUAAGGUGGUUCUACCUUUCUCCAAGUCUCCCAGAUUCAGAACCUCAAUCUCAUGGCCGGUUCUUCAUCCUCAUUCCACCCAUAUUAAACAAGUAUUUGCUAACUCUUGUCAUUUCUAGCUCCACAACAGCCCUUGUGGAAGUUGCCUCCUCGCCAUUCACACAGCCACUAUCUCAGUUCUUAUCUCAUCUCAGCUGGUCUCCCUUCCUUCAAUCACCUCCUAUACUCAGGGAAUUCCCAAAAGUGCAGUUCUAACCAAGCUGCUUCCCUGCCUGAGAAGCUUCAAUGACUCCCUGCUACUUUUCUGACCAAAAACAAAGCCCCUCAUUAGGCAUUUAUAACUCCUAUCUCUUUUGCAGGGCAGCCAGAUAGCACAGAGUAUAGAGUGCCCAGCCUGGAGUCAUGAAUUCUUGAGUUCAGGUUUAACUUUGUGAUCUCAGAUAACUCCUUUAACCCUGUUUGCCUCAGUUUACUCAUCCAUAAAAAUGAGAGAACAAAAUGGUAAACCACUCCAGCCAAGAAAACUCCAACGAAGAUAUGACUGAAAAAUAACUAUACAAUAACAUUUCUUUCACAACACUGGAACCUUCUGAUUUUUCCAGCCUUCUUCAACAUUCCUCUACUCCACAUGCUCCAGCCAGCCCAACCUAUUUUCUGCUCUCUGUAAAUUCUGUUUCAUCUCCAUUCUCCUCGUGCUUGCAUGGAUUCCCUCACACUUUUGCCUCUCACCAUCCCUGUUUUUUCUCAAGAUUCCCCUAAAGCUCGAUGAUGUCUUUCCUUAUUUUCCAGAUCUUGGUGCUCUCCCCAUCUCAAUAUAUCUAGUAUUCACUUCUCUCUGUGUGCACCAUUUCCCCCAAUUGAAGAUAAUAAGCUCCUUGAGGACAAGGAUUUUUUGUUUUUUGUCUUUGACUCUACUGAUCUUUCUGGGUUUAUUGUAUGGUUCUCCCCUUCAUACAAUCCACAUUUCUGUCAAGCUGUCCUAUUUGUGUCUCUGUGUGGGAAAUUCCAGUCCUUUUGCUUUUUAUCUUUGAUUCUAACUGAUCUUUCUGGGUUUAUUGUACGUUUCUUCCCUUCAUACAAUCCACAUUUCUGUCAAAUGAUCCCACUUGCGUCUCUGUAUGUGAAAUUCCAGGUUCUUUUGCUGUGUCUUUGAACAAGCCAUCCCCUACAAGGGACAGUAAAUAGUCAAUGAAGGCUCCAGAGUUGCGUCCUCUACAGAACUGGGGUGGGGCUUAAGUUUGGGGAAAACCCAGCGCAGCUAAUUGGGGCCUGGUUCCUUAAUCCCACCUGCACCCACUUUGGCACGCCAAACACCCCGAGAUGGAGCACUUGACCUCUCAGAAUUCUAGAGGUAACCUUAUGGGGAGAGGGAGCCAACUGUUCCUGACUAUGGUCUCCCCGCUCUGAUGCUGGAGAAAGAGACUCUUACGCCAAGGACCCGGCUUCAAGGUGUGUUGGACACUACCUCAGUCCCUACUUCACCUGCCUGGAUCUCAGUCCCCUCAUUAUCUUAGAAAACCUCUAAGGUCUCUUGCAGCUCGACACCCAUGAACCUGCAACCUCAUCCAAACAAAUUCCUCAACUCUUAUCCACUCCUUCCCAUAAAUCCACCAUACAAUCACAUAAAUUUGAGUUAAGCCAGCAGUAAUUAGCAUCCCUCACCCCAGACUCAACCUUGAUUUCAGCUGUGUUUUGGUAGUGGGAACUUCGGUUGGAAAGUAGCCUGUUGUCUGGCUAAAGAGUGCCAAACCUGAGUUGUUCUCCCAUUCCUCAUCAAAAUAUAUUCCAUUUUUUAAUAUAACUGGAGAAGGGGAAACAUAAAAGUGAAGGAGGGAAUUUUUAUUACAACCUCUCCCUGCCAACUUCCAUCCCUAACAUCAUUACCUUAGUUUUAUUUAUUUUUAUUUUUUUAUUUUAUUUUGUUUUAUUAUUACCUUAAGUUGUAUUUAUUAUUUCAUGAUUUUAUUAACACGGCUCUUGGCUACAAACUCCUCUACAAUCUGCUUUAUUAACAAGCAAUGCAUGUCUGCGUAUGUAUAUAGCUCACAUAUGUAUACAGCCAUUCACAUAUAGAACCAUAAAAUUUGAC